rnacentral:snRNA from 1 species
GGAUGUGAGGGCGAUCUGGCUGCGACAUCUGUCACCCCAUUGAUCGCCAGGGUUGAUUCGGCUGAUCUGGCUGGCUAGGCGGGUGUCCCCUUCCUCCCUCACCGCUCCAUGUGCGUCCCUCCCGAAGCUGCGCGCUCGGUCGAAGAGGACGACCUUCCCCGAUAGAGGAGGACCGUUCUUCGGUCAAGGGUAUACGAGUAGCUGCGCUCCCCUGCUAGAACCUCCAAACAAGCUCUCAAGAUACACUACACUUGGGGGGCGCCUGGGUGGCUCAGUCCUUAAGCAUCU